rnacentral:rRNA from 1 species
CCCACGGGGGGCAGCAGUGGGGAAUAUUGGACAAUGGGCGAAAGCCUGAUCCAGCCAUGCCGCGUGUGUGAAGAAGGCCUUCGGGUUGUAAAGCACUUUCAGUGGGGAAGAAAGCCUUGGGGCUAAUACCCUCGAGGAAGGACAUCACCCACAGAAGAAGCACCGGCUAACUCCGUGCCAGCAGCCGCGGUAAUACGGAGGGUGCGAGCGUUAAUCGGAAUUACUGGGCGUAAAGCGCGCGUAGGCGGUCUGAUAAGCCGGUUGUGAAAGCCCCGGGCUCAACCUGGGAACGACAUCCGGAACUGUCAGGCUAGAGUGCAGGAGAGGAAGGUAGAAUUCCCGGUGUAGCGGUGAAAUGCGUAGAGAUCGGGAGGAAUACCAGUGGCGAAGGCGGCCUUCUGGACUGACACUGACGCUGAGGUGCGAAAGCGUGGGUAGCAAACAGGAUUAGAUACCCGAGUAGUC